GUAAAUAACUUCCUAAAGACUCUAAACAUAACGCUAUAGAAAUAGAAAUCUUAAGAAGAUGGAGGCUCGUGAUGGGAAGGCCAUCAAGAAAAUCUCAACUGCGUCGUCUAAUUAGGCUGCCAUUGAUGCUUAUGAGAAAGAAAUGGAUUCGAGGUACAGUAAUGCCUGAUAUUACUUAGAUUGCUGCUGUGCAUUUGAAGACGGGUUUUAAGUUCUCAACAUAUGUGAAGACAACAGUGCCAAUUUCUUCCGAAGCUCAGAAAGUGAUUGGCAUCUCUGUUGAUGAUCAUGGCAUAAUGCGUGUAAAUGAUGGAAGUGUUGAUAGUCUAUCAAUUAAAACUUCUCUACAUGAUUGUAUGAUGUGGCUUGCAAAGUUUCCCAGAGCCAUUUUUGUUGCUCAUUAUGGGCGCAGGUUUGAUUUUCCGAUUUUGGUUAGUGCAUUGCUGAACACACACUGUUUUGAAACGUUUUGUAAUUGUGUAAGCAGUUUUGUUUACUCUUUGCCGGUUUUCAAAAAUCGUAUCCUGGAUAGUCACACAAACAGGAAGAUAUAGUGAACGUGUUCUCCAGGCAACUUGCAAGGCCCACAGUGCUCCUGAUGAUGUUGAAGCACUGGGAUCUUUGCUUAAAACAUGUAAAAUUACUGACAAUAUGGCCCACAUCUUUACUGUUACUGCAAUCCAUAAUUCAUUUUGUUUAAGUCGUGAAAAGCCUUAAAGGCAAAGAACAUUAGAUUGUUAGAAGUGCUGUUGCAUAGAGGAACUCUAAAGCGAACAACAGCUAAAAACAUUGCGGGAUAUGGACUGACCUUGUGUCAUUUGAAAGCCAUAAUUUCUAGUUCCGGAGAGGAUGACUUUAUGGAUACUUUCAUUGCUAAGAACAAUGAGGUACUACCAAAAGUCACAAACGCACAAAAAUAUUUUAUCUGAAGUGGUCCCUAAAAUCGGUCAGUUUUUCAGUGACGAAAAGUCACGGAACGAGAUAAUAUGGCUUUCAAAUGACACGCGGUCAGUCAAAAUCAUGCAAUGACUUUAUACUGAUACUGAAUUAUGUACAUCUAGUUGUCAUUUAUCUGGCUGUUUUUAUUAAAAUAUAAGUUGUAUA